GCCGUGAUGGCGCAGUGGUAACGCAUUUGACUUGUAAUCAAAAGAUCGGGAGUUCGAUUCUCCCUCGCGGCUA